rnacentral:rRNA from 1 species
AGAGUUUGAUCCUGGCUCAGGACGAACGCUGGCGGCGUGCUUAAGACAUGCAAGUCGUACGAGAAAGCCUCUUCGGAGGUUAGUAAAGUGGCGCACGGGUGAGUAACGCGUGGAUAAUCUGCCCUUUGGUUUGGGAUAACCCCGGGAAACCGGAGCUAAUACUGAAUAAGACCACGAUGACUUCGGUCGAUGUGGGAAAAGAUGGCCUCUUCUUGAAAGCUAUCACCGAUGGAUGAGUCCGCGUUUGAUUAGCUUGUUGGUGAGGUAAAAGCUCACCAAGGCUACGAUCAAUAGCUGGUCUGAGAGGACGAUCAGCCACACUGGAACUGAGACACGGUCCAGACUCCUACGGGAGGCAGCAGUCGGGAAUAUUGGGCAAUGGGCGAAAGCCUGACCCAGCAACGCCGCGUGAAGGAUGAAGGCCCUAGGGUCGUAAACUUCUGUCGAGAGGGAAGAAUGCUUGCGGGUAAAUAAUCCGUAAGUUUGACGGUACCUCCAAAGGAAGCACCGGCUAACUCCGUGCCAGCAGCCGCGGUAAUACGGAGGGUGCAAGCGUUGUUCGGAUUUAUUGGGCGUAAAGCGAGUGUAGGCGGCUUAGCAAGUCGGAUGUGAAAUCCCAGGGCCCAACCCUGGAACUGCAUCCGAUACUGUUAGGCUAGAAUUCCGGAGAGGGUGGCGGAAUUCCCGGUGUAGGGGUGAAAUCCGUAGAUAUCGGGAGGAACACCAGUGGCGAAGCGGGCACCUGGACGGUAAUUGACGCUCAGACUCGAAAGCGUGGGUAGCAAACAGGAUUAGAUACCCUGGUAGUCCACGCCGUAAACGGUGAGAGC